CCUACGGGAGGCAGCAGUGGGGAAUAUUGCGCAAUGGGCGAAAGCCUGACGCAGCGACGCCGCGUGAGGGAUGAAGGUCUUCGGAUCGUAAACCUCUGUCAGCAGGGAAGAACGGUCACUGUGCUAAUCAGCAGUGAAUUGACGGUACCUGAAAAGGAAGCACCGGCUAACUCCGUGCCCGCAGCCGCGGUAAUACGGAGGGUGCGAGCGUUAAUCGGAAUUACUAGGGGUAAAGCGGUCGUAGGCGGUAUGUCAAGUCAAGGGUGAAAUCCCCGAGCUCAACGUGGGAAGUGCCGUUGAAACUGGCAAACUGGAGUGUGUGAGAGGAUAGUGGAAUUCCAGGUGUAGGGGUGAAAUGCAUAGAUAUCUGGAGGAACAUCAGUGGCGAAGGCGACUAUCUGGCACAUAACUGACGCUGAGGAGCGAAAGCGUGGGUAGCAAACAGGAUUAGAUACCCUGGUAGUC
rnacentral:rRNA from 1 species